rnacentral:rRNA from 1 species
GAUGCAACGCGAAGAACCUUACCAAGGCUUGACAUGUUCUCGAUCGCCGUAGAGAUACGGUUUCCCCUUUGGGGCGGGUUCACAGGUGGUGCAUGGUUGUCGUCAGCUUGUGUCGUGAGAUGUUGGGUUAAGUCCCGCAACGAGCGCAACCCUCGUUCCAUGUUGCCAGCACGUCGUGGUGGGGACUCAUGGGAGACUGCCGGGGUCAACUCGGAGGAAGGUGAGGACGACGUCAAAUCAUCAUGCCCCUUAUGUCUUGGGCUUCACGCAUGCUACAAUGGCCGGUACAAUGGGUUGCGAUACUGUGAGGUGGAGCUAAUCCCAAAAAGCCGGUCUCAGUUCGGAUUGGGGUCUGCAACUCGACCCCAUGAAGUCGGAGUCGCUAGUAAUCGCAGAUCAGCAACGCUGCGGUGAAUACGUUCCCGGGCCUUGUACACACCGCCCGUCAAGUCACGAAAGUCGGUAACACCCGAAGCCGGUGGCCUAACCCUUGUGGGGGGAGCCGUCGAAGGUGGGACCAGCGAUUGGG